rnacentral:rRNA from 1 species
CGCGUAGGCUGUGCUGUAAGUCAGGCGUGAAAGGCCCGGGCUCAACCUGGGAACUGCGCAUGAUACUGCGGCGCUUGAAGGCGGGAGAGGAUGGCGGAAUUCCCAGUGUAGAGGUGAAAUUCGUAGAUAUUGGGAAGAACACCGGUGGCGAAGGCGGCCAUCUGGCCCGUGAUUGACGCUGAGGCGCGAAAGCGUGGGGAGCAAACAGGAUUAGAUACCCUGGUAGUCCACGCCGUAAACGAUGAGUGCUAGACGUCGGGGAGCUUGCUCUUCGGUGUCGCCGCUAACGCAUUAAGCACUCCGCCUGGGGAGUACGGUCGCAAGAUUAAA